GAAGUUGUGACUCAGUGGUAGGGUAUCUUCUUUGCACACGGAAGGUCCCAGGUUCAAACCCGGGCAUCUCCA
rnacentral:tRNA from 1 species